rnacentral:tRNA from 1 species
GAAUCCAUCGUCUAAAGGAUAGGACAGCGGUCUUCUAAACCGCUAAUGUUGGUUCAAUUCCGACUGGAUUCA